rnacentral:rRNA from 1 species
GAUGAACGCUAGCUACAGGCUUAACACAUGCAAGUCGAGGGGCAGCAUGGGAGUUGCUUGCAAUUCCUGAUGGCGACCGGCGCACGGGUGAGUAACGCGUAUCCAACCUUCCCCUUAGUAGGGCAUAGCCCGUAGAAAUGCGGAUUAAUACCCUAUGUUCUCCGACGAUGGCAUCAGACUUGGAGCAAAGGUUUACCGCUAAGGGAUGGGGAUGCGUCUGAUUAGGAUGCCGGCGGGGUAACGGCCCACCGGUCCAUCGAUCAGUAGGGGUUCUGAGAGGAAGGUCCCCCACACUGGUACUGAGACACGGACCAGACUCC